rnacentral:SRP_RNA from 1 species
UGCCGGUCCCCUCGCAACAGUGACCUGUAAACCCCGCCAGGCCCGGAAGGGAGCAACGGUAGCAGACUCGCUGUGUGCCGGGGUGUGGCUGGUAGCC